rnacentral:lncRNA from 1 species
CGUUGGCCACGCCUCCCGGCCGGGCAGCAACACUAAAGCCUCUCCCAACCCGCGAGGCCCUCCCAGAUUCCGCCUCCCUACUUGUACGCUCCGCCCCCGAGAUGCCCCUGUCGCCGCCUGAUUGCACUGUGGCCUGGCCGCGGUAGACCGGGCGGAGCGCUGGGUGCAGAACCGUGUGGAGGCUGGAAAUCGUGGGUGCCCCUCGUCCGGACCAUGUCUGGCUGCCACGGUCCGGAGGGAGACUGCUGCUCACGGCAAUGCGUCGCGCAGGUAGGGGCGGGGCCGCCGGCGCCGCUCUUCCUAGGCGGCAGGGCGCUGGCGCGGGGUCGCGAGCCGCAGGGUCGUGGGCGGGGCUUCCGCGGGUGCGAGCGCGGCCCUGCGGCCUGGCUGCGCUCUUGACUGCGGGAGCUGGGCCGCAGACUGAAAAAGGAAGAGUGACAGUGAGGAGCGCAUUUGGGCCACUGUCGCAUGCAUAUCGGGAUGACAGACCGAAGGAGUCUUGAGGCACUGGAGUGGAACUGGAGCGAAAGCGGAGCUCCUCGAGCUUCUUUUCUGCGCCUGGCGACCAGCUCCACGAUGCUGAACUGCAGCUGGGCCUCCGGAGCCUGCACCCUUUAGUAGAGUUGCUCCUUACUCACUGUUUAGAUGAAUAACGGGGUGAUUCUGCCUAACGAUUCUUCCUUGAGCAGAAGUCAGGCUGCAGGUUUAUCAUUCACUUAUACACAACCAACAAUCUUACUGGAAGCCUUAAUGAACGCCUCUGAGUGUCCAGAGAGUGGUGAACAUGACAGAUGGCCCGGAGUCUAGAGGAGAACUAGACCAAUUAACAAAUUCAGUAUAAUGCAUAAGAGGCAGGAAAAGCCCCCUAAGCUUAGUUCUCUGAUCAAAGGGCUGAAGGUCUCACUGGGAAGAUUUUAUUACUAAGCAUUUGUAAACCGUUAUGUUGUUUUGAGUAAGUGACUUCUCCCAAAUUAGCAAACACGACAGGUUAGAAUGCUGGAUAGACAUGAUUGUAUGAGGAAGAUGAUGAUCUUGGAUACAGGACAGAUCACUGGAGAUCAUUUUGAGACAGAUGGGUUUGGAGAAUAAGGAAAGUGAAAGCAGUCCAUUAGAAGAAACAUUGCUAAGACAUUUUAGCACAUGUGUACAUGCCCCCAGUAAUUAGAUCUUUGGCAGUGUCUAAGAGAGCAGCAUGUCUAAGCUUCAAAGAGCCUAAAACAAGAAAACUAAGAAUAAACUAAUAUUCUUAAACCAAAAAUGGCCACAGGACAACAUGUAGAACAGGCAUCUUUUAUUUGCUUCAGUCAGUGGUCAUGAAAAAUGUGAGCUACUUUUUCAGAGUCCAGAACAAUCUUGGCUUCUAUUGAAAUUUAAGAGCAUUUGGUGUGACUGGACCCUUAUUUCUUCAUGGGGUCUGGAUUGAACUGACAAAUAGUUACUUAUUUAACCCAAGGCAUGUGCUUCCACUCCUCAAACUAGAUUUGCAUGUAUAUUUAAAUACAUUAACCCCACUAAACAUUUUUGUUUACCUUGUGUUACAAAAAUAAAUGAGAACAGCAAUAAGAAAAGCUUUGAGGCAUAAAAUUUCAAUGCAGUUUUAGAGGGUGCAACCGAAAGAGUUUAUCCUUAAGGAAGAGGAGUGUUCAAUUGUGAUUGUUUGAGCAAAUAUUGAAGAGGGCCUACUAUGUGCCAGACACUGUGAAUUUAACAUAAUGCAAGUUACUUCUAAUUUCUUCCCCCAUAGAGAGUGCUGUGUAGUGGGAGAAACAGUAAAGAGACAGUAUGACAAUAUAAUAGCACCACUAUGGGAAAGUUCGGGGUGCAGUAGGGUUUGAAAAUGCCUCUGGAGGAAAUAAAGGAAUCAACUGAAGCCUAAAGGAUCAGGAAGACCACAGUAAGAAAUGAAGCUGAGUUUUCUAAUUUCAGGCUUACCCUGGAGAUAUUUCAGGUUACAUCACAAUAAAGUCACACAAAAGCUGUAGUUUCCUAGUGCAUAUAAAAGUUAUGUUUACACUAUAGUCUAUUAAGUGUACAAUAGCAUUAUGUCUAGAAAAUAAACACAAUUUUAAAAUAUUUAUUGCUAAAAAAUGGUUAUGAUGAUCUGAACUAUUGGAAAUAAUGAUACUACUGAUAGGUUUACAAAGCUCAGGGUUGCCACAAACCCUCAAUUCAUAAAAAAUGCAGUAUCCAAAGUACAAUGACAUAAAGCACAGUAAAGGUAAGCCUGUAGAAAGAGUAGCAUGCACAGAGUCUUAGAAAAAAGGGCAUUGUGUGUUCUCAUAUCAAAAGAAUCUUGGUGUUAUGGGAACAAAGUAGGGGACAGGGACUUGGGAAAAUGAUGAAGCUAAAAAGAUGAAUACUAGGACCCAAACUAGAGGGCUCUUUAAGCCAUCUUAGGAAUACAGAUUUUUAUUUUAAGGGCAAUGAGAUAAUAAGAAAGAUGGCUGAAGGAAGCGUAUGGGGUGACAGGCUGUGGUUGUAGCUCAGUGGUUGAGCGCUUGCCUCGCAUGGGUAAGGCACUGGGUUUGAUCCUCAGCACCACAUAAAAAAAAAAUAAAUAAAACAAAGAUAUUUUUAAAAAAAGAAAGAAAGAAAAUGUAUGGGGUGCUGACUGGAUUGGAAUCUGGAGGCUUAGAUACAAACCAGGAAGCUGUAGCAGUAACCCAGGCAAGAAAUGCCAGUGCCCUCAGUGAGGGAUUUAGGUGGUAAAGUCUAGAGGACGUGAUGUUGAUUCGAUGGGGAUGGUGAAAAAAGGUGCCAGGAAUGACUUAGGUUUCUGAGGGAGUGAUUGGGACCUGGUGAACUCUCAGAAAGAACACGGGAGGAAGAAACAGUUGAUGAUAAGCCCAUCAUAGACAUAACAAAUAUGAGGUCCCUGGUUGGAGUGAGAUAUUAAAAGCUGGGUAUUUGUGGCUCUCAAGCUCAAGAAAGAGAGCUGGAUUAGAGAUGAAGUUUUGGAAAACUUGGUCACCAAAGCCUUCCCUCUUGAAUUAAUUGAUCUUUAUUUGAUGGACACCCUCUCCCUAAACCCCUAUUAGAUUAAUUGCCUUCCUCUGUAGGCUUUUCAAUAAUAUUAUUUUAUCAUGCUUGCCUGUAACUUUUAAGUUGUUUGUUUCAUGGGCUAGUAUUGCAAAGAUUUCUCAGGCACUGAGUAUAUUAUUUUCAGGAUAGAUUCAGCUUAUUAUACAAGUAAUGUCUAGGCUGAUUUUACAGUCCAAAAAUUCAAUCCCAAAUGACCUCUGAUACUUGGACUAAAUUUUUCUAGUAUCAAAAAGUCAAGGGGGUUGGGCUGGGGUUGUAGCUCAGUGGUAGAGUGUUUGUUUGCCUGUGUUAGAUCCUCAGCACUACAUAAAAAUAAAUUUAAAAAAAUGUUGUGUCCAUCUACGACUAAAAAAUAAAAAUUAAAAAAAAAAAGUCAAGGGGUAUUUCCCUAUGAGAGAAAGUGUUUACUUAGAAACUGUGUAUUAACAAAGUCCAGAUUCUAAAAGUACUAACAUGAAUAAAUCACUAUUCUCUGUUCUUGGGAAAUUAAGGCAGUUAUAAAUGCAUACCAGUAACUAAUAUACUAUAUAACAGAAUUGGGCAGUGGAAGGAAGAGGAGAAGACUAAAUUCUUAAGGAAUUUUUGCAAAUGCAGAAAGAGGAAAGAUAAUUGGAAACAGCAAUUCAUGUAAGGCUUUAUGGAGAAUUUUGGAUGGGCUCAUGGUUCUAGAGGGACACCAAAAAGAAGUUCCUUAGGGUGACCAUAUGCCCUAUUUUAAGAGUUCACAAUACAUAACUCUGACGUUUUUUUUGCUGGGGGAAAAAAUCUGUUGUUUUUUUUGUUUUUUUAGGGAAACCAGAAACUGGGAUUUUGUAUGAAAUCAAUAAUUUUCAAAAUUUUAAAAUGUCAACUCAGAUUCUAAGCAUUAUACAGACCAAAUUAAUUACUUCCUGGAAGUCUGAUGAAAUCCACAAGUCAAUUUGUGACUUCUAUAAUAUAUUCUUGAAUGUAAGAUAUAUGAUCUUAAUUCAUCCAGUAUUUAUUAAGCCAAGCACUGCGGUAGGAGUAACUUAGAAAGAGCAUGUUGCCUACCCUUUAGUGAGCUGGGCACAGUUGGGGAGAAAAAACAGGUAGGCACUGUUUUUACUUUUUUUGGAGGGGAGUUACCAGGGAUUGAACUCAGGGGCACUUGACCACUGAGCUACAUCACCAGCCCUAUUUUGUAUUUUAUUUAGAGACAGGGUCUCACUAAGUUGCUUAGCAGCCUCACUUUUGCUGAGACUGGCUUUGAACUCACGAUCCUCCUGUCUCAGCCUCCCCAGCUGCUGGGAUUGCAGUCGUGCGUCACUCUGGUUUGUUUCUACUUUUUUUGUUGUUAUUUGUUUAUGUGUCAUAGUGUUUCUGAACAAAUAUUUGUUCUUUGAUAUUUCUACAAAACAAGGCUAUUUGUUUUCCUUGACCUCAACAGUUCCGUGGAAGCAACCCAGUCUCAUGAUCAUAAACUCCCUGCCCAACUACUACCCCUUCACUACACAGAUAUUUGGGGUGAAGGAAUUUUUCGUUCUGUGGUCCCUUCUGUGUGCCCUGUAUCAGAGGAUCCUCCACAUUCUAUCAUAAAUAGGUACCUUUAUGGAAGCCCCCCCCCCACUAGGUCUGCUGAGAAUGUUCCCAGGGAAGGGAUGGAAUCACUCACUGUACGAGAUGAUGUCUCUACAAAUAUCACGGGGUCUUACCACAGCUAGCCCACCUUCUUUGUUCCUUCACUAGCCCCUGAACAUUCCUGAGGAAUAUUCCUCAACUGUGCUGUGUGGACUCACUUCAGACUCAUGGUUUCAACCUCAUACUUCCAGCAAUGCUCCUGUGUCCUACAGUAGUGCCCACUCCCUAGUACCCUCUCCCCAGAGGACUGUUUUAUACCUUUAUUCUCUUGUUAUGCCUCUCAGACCAUCCCCACACUCUCAGCUGAUGACUGCAUUGAUACUUAAGAAAACAAAAGUCACUAGAUGUGAACUUCCUCACCUUCCCACCAUAAAACCUACAGAUAUGCCUGAAAAUGAACCCAGCUUCCUUUCAUUUCAUAAAAUGGAAGCAGCCCAGUUCUUCCACCAGUCUCAGGUCUCCAGGCCUUUCACCUUCUGAAGUUAUUUCUCUCCCUCUCCCUGUCUUACCAUCAAUCAUUUCCUCCCUGGGAGGACUGUGCUCAUCAGCAGGGCUUUCAGAUCCCUACAUGAUCUGGUCCCUGCGGUCAUUUUCCACCACUUUUAGCACUUUAUCACCCUGCCCUAGCCAGCUGGUCUUCCUCGUGCCAAGGGUUUUCUCACUCCGGACCUUCACAUCUGUCCUUUCCUCUGCCUGGAGUCACCUGCCUCUCCCCAGCACAAAACUACCUGUGCACACACACGAGUUUUUCACACACCAGUUUAAGAUUAAGUGCCACUUGUUUAAGCCUUACCAACCUGAUUAAAGUUGAUCCCUGCUAUUUUUCUCCAAGUCCCUAUUUGUUUCUUACCACUUAUUACAAUUUAUUUAUCCUUUCAUUUUACUCUUUUAAAACUCUAGCCUGGGGUGUAAAUUCUUUUAGGGAAAGACUGUCUUGUUUGUGGAUGAAUUUCCAGGGUCUAGAGAAGUGCUGUGCACAUAGUAAGCCCUUAGUAAAUGUUUAUGGCUGACAUCCCAGAGAACGGUAUUCCUCCCCACCCAGCUGCUCUGCCAGCCAGAAUGUGGAAGUGUUCUUCCCUUCAGUUUUCUCACCCAGAAUUCUUUCUUUCUGUUUAACUUUCCAAAUCCACUUCUGCCCUCACUACCUCACCAAUUCAUUUCCAAAUCUCAGCAGUCUCUUAAUGCUCUGGUCUUUAUCUUAACCACCCUUCAGCCUCUUCUGUUCACUGACACGAUAGAACAUUUCACGGACAAAAUCUGAUCAUCUUAGAUUUAAACUCCUCAGUGGUUUUGAGUUUUCUAUAAAAUAAAUCCCAAACUUCUGUGCACACCACGAAAGAUCCUUUAUAUGCUGCUUCCCUCCCACCUCCACCCCACCAAACCACCAAUUUGUAACCACUUCCAGCCACUGGGAGUUCUCUCCAAUUUAAGUGUCCUUUCUCUUUAAAUGACCAGUGUCCUCCACUGUGCUUCAAGACUGACUUUAGUCACAGUUCAUUUGUGAAACGUUUCCCAGUUCCUGUUCCCUUCUAUCAGUACCUUCUGAUCCCAUAGUGCCCUAGACUAUCUUGCUGAGGAGCUCAACCUAGUAAAGAAAUUGUUUUCAUUUUAUAGCAAUUUCUUUACUAGGUUGAGCUCCUCAGUGGUAAGGAUUUUUAUCUUAUAUUUGUUUCUUCAGGGCUUGUCACAGAACCUAGCACUCAGUAAGGGUGCAUUGAAUGUGAGUAUGUGAUAAACACACAAGAAAAGUGAAGAGAACAAAUGUCAAGGCACAGUAUUGGAGGAAGAGUGACCACUUCCCACUGGGAGAUGAGUGAAGGCAUCAUAAGUGAGCAGGGAGCCUGGUGUAAAGACUCUUAAGGAGGAGUUUGAUGGAGUCAUAGGAAUUAGAGAUUCAGCCUGAGCAGUUUAAGAGCCCAAAGAAAAUUUAAAAAUAUGUAUCCUUGGCUGGUAAGAAAUCAUGUCUUAGUUAUUUAUUGCUGCAUAGCAGAUGACCUUGUAGCUUGGUAACUGAAAUCACAAAACAGUGAUUGUGGCCCAUAAUUUGCAAGGAUUAGGAACCCAAGAGCAGCUGUGCUCACAUUCUGGCUCAGCAUCUCAUGAGAUGGCGAUUGGGCUGUCGGUGGGUUGACAGUCAACUCAGGGCUUGAUUACAGCCGUAGGAUCUGCUUCUAAGAUCACUCAAGCGAGUUUGGCAGGCCUUAGUUUCUCAUUGGCCAUUGGCCUUGAACCUCAGUUCCUUGCCAAAUGGCCAUCUUCCUGGGCUUUCUGAUUACUCUUAUGCUUCAGCAGCUGUCUUUCCCACAAAGCCAAUGAUCUGCAGAGAGAAAGAUCAAUCAAGAUAGAAGCUACACUCUUCCAUGACCUAAUCUCAGAACUGACAUACUGUUGCCUCUGCCAUAGUUUCUUGGUCACACAGAUCAACUUGGGUAGAAUGGAAUGGGGUCAUCAGGAGGUAGAGAACACGAGGAGCCAUUCUGUAGUUUGACUACUGCAACGAGCGUGACUAGAACUGAGAGAUUUGUAUAAAUACAGAAAGAACCUAGCAGACCAAGGAGCAUUUGAGCAUUAGAUGAUUUGAAGAAUGGAGUUCGUGAUCAGUAUAGUAUUAGUUUAUGAUUCAUAUUAGAGGAUAAGCUGGAAUAGAAGGAGGAAUUGUAGCAAGGAGACCAAAUAAAAGAUUACCUCCAUACUCCCAAAUGUCAGUCCCUAAGAGAGUUUUUACUACAACUAUAUAUAGCAAAGUAAUAAAAAUGAAGACAGUGAAACAUGAAUUUCACUAAAUUUAAUUGAAUGCAAUUUAAAAGACUAGUUUUUAUUCUGAGGUUAUCCUCCUAUUCUUUUUAUGUUAAAAAUGUGCUUCUUUUUUGAAGAAGGUGAUAGUGGAUAGUUAAAUGUAAUUCAUGUCAUAACCUGACAAUCUUAGGUCAUUUCCUAAAAUCAAAAGGAAAAAAAUAGAAAAGUAAAACUGCUGUUGAAAUUCACAAGUCUGGAAAUCACUGAUCCAGAUUAUUAAUAUGAGGAAACUGAUACCAGAAAGUGUCACUGACUUGCCUUAGGGCACACAGCUAGUGGUGUCAAAGCUGAAACCAGAUUCUUUGUCUUUAAUUUCUAUUCAACACUUAACUGAAAUGCAGAGGAAAGAGAAGAAUUUUUAGUGUGGCAAGAGGAAGAAGAGAGGGCUUCUGAGUGAAGGUGAUAUUGGAAAGCAAAGCAACAUGCACAGAGAGGAGAAUAGAAUAAAUGUGUAGAAAGACACAAAGACCAAGCACAGAGAGAAAAUCUUGACAACUACUGCACAAAUAUAUCAGUCCCUUCCUGAAGACAGUGUCAGAAAAAAUUGUGAAAACUUUGAAAUGAGUAAAAUAAAAUUACUAGGUGUUUUGGGAUUAUCUUUUAGCUAUUUUAUAAGUAUGUAAAUUACAGAAUACUGAUAUGACUUGUUUAUGACAAUAAACUGUGUUCAAUAAACAUUCGAUUUAUAGUUACCCUAUGGAUAUUGUCCAAUUGUGCCUUCUUUGUGAAUUCAGGAUUCUUGAUUCCUUUUUUUUGGAGAGGUAUAUUUGGGAUAAACCUGGGGGUGCUUUACCACUGAACUUCAUCCCCAGUAGUUUUUUUUUUUUGGUAUAUUUUGUUUUAUUUUAUUUUAUUUUUUUAAUUUUGAGAGUGAGUUUCCCAAAGGAGGACCUGAUCCUCCUGCCUCAGCCUCCUGAGCCACUGGGGUUAUAGGCAUGUGCCACUGCCCAGUUAAGAUUCCUGAUUACUCCUAUACAAGUAUACUGAAUUCUCCUUUGAAUGGUUCUAACAUCUUAUGGUUUCCUUAUUAAUUAAUAAGCUAAGUAUUAUUUUUUUAUGUCAUCAUCAUCAUCAUCAUUUUUGGUGCUGAAGAUUGAACCCAAGGCCUUGCACAUGCUAGACAUGCACUGUGCCACUGAACUAUACCUCCAUCCUGACAAAUCUAAAAUAAUUUGUCUGAGUCUCCCAGGAAAAUUAUCUUUGAAUAACAAGUGCCUGGAUUUAAUUUUUUUUCUUAUACCAUGAAUUGAACCUAGAGGCACUCAACCACUGAACCACAUCCUCAGCCCUUUCUUAUAUAUAUUUUUUACAGAUGGGAUCUCACUAAAUUGCUUAGGGUCUCGCUAAGUUGCUGAGGCUGACUUUGAACUUGAGAUCCUCCUGCCUCAGCCUCCUGAGCUGCUGGGAUAAGAGGUGUGUGCCACUGCACCAAACUGGAGCCUGAAUUUUCUUAAAUUGAAAGAAAAUAAUAAGUUGUUAAAAAUUUUUUAAAAAGGAGAAAUCGUUGGGAAUUAGAGCCAUUAUUGGCUAUGAAUAGGUAUCUCAGUAACAAGUCUGAUUUCCUUAAAAUAACUAGAUUAAUAAUUUGAAAAAAUAAAAUACUGAAUCAAAAAACAUUCUAGGCUUUAAUAUUUUUCAUAUAUACUAAAUACUGUUAAAUGUGUUUCUGUCUCAAAAUAGAACCUCUAUUUUAUUUUUUUCUUAUUUUUAUUGUUUUUUUAAAUAAAUGACAGCAGAAUACAUUACAAUUUUUAUUACACAUAGAGAGCACAGUUUUUCAUAUCUCUGGUUGUAUAUAAAGUAUGUUCACACCAAUUUGUGUCUUUAUACAUGUACUUUGGAUAAUGAUGUCCAUCACAUUCCACCAUCAUUGCUAACCCCCUGCCCCCUCACUUUCCCUCCCACCCCUCUGCUCUAUCUAGAGUUCGUCUAUUCCUCCCAUGCUCCCCCUCCCUACCCCACUAUGAGUCAGUCACCUUAUAUCAGAGAAACAUUUGGCAUUUGUUUUCUUUUGGGGAUUGGCUAACUUCACUUAGCAUUAUAUUCUCCAACUCCAUCCAUUUAUCUGCAAAUGCCAUGAUUUUAUUUUCUUUUAUUGCUGAGUAAUAUUCCAUUGUGUAUAUAUGCCACAUUUUUUUUUAUCAUUCAUCUACUGAAGGGCAUUUAGUUGGUUCCACAGCUUAGCUAUUGUGAAUUGUACUGCUGUAUACAUUGAUGUGGCUGUGUCUCUGUAGUAUGCUGUUUUUAAGUCCUUUGGGUAUAGACCGAGGAGAGGGACAGCUGGGUCAAAUGGUGGUUCCAGUCCCAAUUUUCCAAGGAAUCUCCAUACUGCUUUCCAUAUUAUUGGCUGCACCAAUUUGCAGUCCCACCAGCAAUAUAUGAGUGUGCCUUUUUUCCCACAUCCUCACCAACACUUAUUGUUGUAUUCUUAAUAGCUGCCAUUCUGAUUGGAGUGAGAUGAUAUCUUAGAGUAGUUUUGAUUUGCAUUUCUCUAAUUGCUAGAGAUGAUGAACAUUUUAAAUAGUUGAUUAUAAUGAAUAUUUAGAUACAUAUUUUAAAUUUAAUAAUUGAAUUGAAAUCCAGAUCUAACAACAGGAAAGUAAUACUAUUGACAUUCAAAAGAGAACUAGAUAUUAACUAAACCUUUCUUUCUUGUUAAUUCUUUUUAAAAUAUAUAUUCUGAUUUUUAGUAUCUUAUCUGGACAGUUUUCUAGGACUGCAUUUUUCACCAAAUGUAUCUCUGUCGGUGACUAUUAACUGAUCAUGUUGCUUUAAUUGAAAUUUUACAUGUCUGAAUGACUGUAUGAAAAUGCACUAACAGCAUCUGCCUGAUUCUUAUUCCUGUAAGCAUGAAGCUUACUAAUUGCUGUAAUACCUAAGUAUUGGAAAAGACAAAGAGAAGAGGGAGACCCAUAAUAACAGACCAUUUUCAAUAAUGUUUGCAAUUUGUUCUGCCAGUUUGCUUUUAAGGAUUGGAAAACUGCAGGAGUCUUCCUGUUAACUCUACUUUAAUAUGUAAUUAAAAUAUCAUUUAUGUUCCUAAAAAAAGAAAUAGUGACUUAUACAGGGCAUGGAUAAUUUUGGCUAGAUUUCUUAAGAACAGACAAGAAAUAUCUUUUAUUUUAAGUAAUAGUAAAAUUAAUUUUAAUUCAAGAAUUUUUAACUCUUUAAAACAGGAUUUAAAUCACACAUUGUGCCGGGUGCUUCAUAUGCGUUGCAUCUCUCACAGCAUGCUCAUUCUGUGAAUGAGUAAACUGAACCACAAAGUCACGUAAGCAGUGAGUGAUGUAAUGUGGAUUUGACUUAAUGCCUGCUAACUCAUGAGCCCGUUGCAUCAAAACUUUAAAAAAGUUUCUAGUUUCCCAUAUUCCUGAUAUUAUAUUUUGAAAGCUACUCCAUCAAUAUCAUUCAUAAUACUUUCCUAAAAUGAAAUGUGUAUAUAAAACAUUAGCAGGAAAUUGGGGGAAACACCAUAAUUGCAGGUAUCCAAUUAAGUAGCUGAGACUUUAGACCAUUAUGUAAUUGUUCUUCUUUUGACUCAAAGGUGUUUUUCUCCUUUACACAGGACCAAGAUCAGUAAAGGCAAGCUUGCUUGCCUGUGCUCUUCUGCAUAGUACGUCUGUUUCUUGUUUGCCCUUUCCUGAAGGGUACAGCCCCUUAGGUUCUCAAGCUUAUAUGGGGGAUUUUAAGCAAGCCUUAGGUUGUACGUCAUAUUUCUAAUGGUUUAUAUAGCCAUCUGAUUUGAAGCUCAGUGUCAUCAGGCUUUUUCAAAUACCUUCAGGAAAAAUUCUGGCUUUAGGCUCCCAGGUUUCUAAUCCAGAUAGUCUCACUCUCAUUUCUCUAUGGCCCCUCUGAAUCCUUACUUUCUUGACAGUGUGGCAACUUAUUUUGAAAUAUUUGUAAAAAUAAUUUACUUAGCAUUUUAGCUUGAUUUCAAGGUAAGGAUUGUAUAUCAUACUUCAUACUGCCAAAAAUUAAAUUCAUUGUAUUUCUAUUUAUUUUUGUUUUUAAUAAAUUGUUAAAAAUUUUUAAAAAGGAGAAAUCAUUGGUAUGUUUUUUUCUAAAGAAGUCAUUAUUGAACUUAUAGGUAAGGUUUGAUAUUUAUUUCAGCAUUUAUGCAUAUACUCAUAUAAACACAUAUCUUCAUAAAAAUGGGUUUAGCAGGUUUUGUAAUUGUUUCUGAGUGUUUUUAAUACUCUUUGCUUGAUUUAAUUUUCCAUAAUGAGUAUAUAUUACUUUAUAAUAAUAAUAAGAGAAACAUUAAAAUUAUUUUGGAAAAAAAGAGGAUAAUUUUUAAGUAAAAACAAAACUGAACAGUCUGUGUUGAACAUGUAGCUAUCAUGAUAUCUCAUAUAUAUCCUGCCUUAAUUGAACAAGGUUUUUUUGUAAUAAUGUGUUUAUAAAUAAAUUUUCUUGGCAGACAGAAGCAUGUUCCUUUAAGCACCAGAUUUUAUUUCUUUCAGUCAUUUCAUUGGACCUUGUAAUACAUACUGGGCAUCCUACCUUGUUCCUAAAGCCUGUUAGUGAUGAACUAUACGGCCCCAUACCGAAUACUCCCAGAUUGCCAAAUAAUAUAGUAAAUCUACUUCAUGAACAAAAUAUGUUUGUAAUAGUUUUCUUCCUCUCUGUCCUGUCUCUGUAGUAGAUUUUCUUAAGUUUCCUUAAAUGAGCUUCAUAUUAGAAAUACCAGCUGGAAUAGUUAUUUGAUAAAAUAAUGCCUACUUUAAAAAUUAUUAUUUUCUUUUUAAGGACAAUGAACAUCCAAGAUACCUGAUUCCAGAACUUUGCAAACAGUUUUACCAUUUGGGUUGGGUCACUGGAACUGGAGGAGGAAUUAGCUUGAAGCAUGGGUAAGUUUCUGGCUGGCUCAUCUCUGGGAAUUUUCCAUAUGAGUAGAACACAGGGAGCCUAAUGUGGUAUGUCCAAAGAACAGCUAAUGAUAAGUUCUAUGUGAUAGUGAAGGUAUUUCAUUUCUAAAUUAUCAAAUGGCUAUUUGCAUAACUAAAUGGAGCUGGUGUGCAGAAAUAGUUAUA